GAUCUCAGAAAUUAGAAUCUCGCAGCCGUCAAAUUCUUCUCCUCUAAGCUCUGUUUCGAUGAAACUUAGAAACAUGAUAUGAAUCGAACUUGAGAAACAAUAUUUUGGGUCUCUUCGUCUUCUUCACUAAGAGAAGAUUGCAGCCUACUUUGGUUCCAAGGGUACGUUUUUGCUGUGAGACUGUGAGCGUCCUAAAUCCUAAUACUUCAAGAGGUUUGGUAACUUUGAAGUGUACGUUUCUGCUGUGAGGGUUUUUGUUGUGUUUGGUGGGUUAUCUUCACUUUCAGAUCAAAGCUCAUGUAGAUGGAGCAGGGAUCGUUGGUUUGAGACUAAGAGAGGAGGAUGAAGUUGGUUUAUGUCUUGUUUCUAAAUGGUUUGCAGUUUUUUUUUUUUUAAUUUCAGACACAAGCUUUAUGUGCUUUCAGAUUCUCAAUGGUUUGUUGUAUUUCACUUUCUAAGUUUCAGAUUUAUGUACUUGCAGAUUUUAAAUAUGUAUUAGAUACACUGCAGAUUUUAAAUCAGGUUUAUUACA